UUCAACCACCAAUAUUUCCUCUAAAUCCCAUCCUAGCUCUGAUGCAGUUGGAUCCACUUUUCUAUCAUUCAUUCAUAUAAUAGUGAAAUAGUGCCUUUAAUCUGUCUGCAGCUCCAUAGAAUGACCAAACAUGACCUUUGACCUGAACUCAUUUGAACAUCAUGGUGGAAAAUCCAGUCCAAUCCUUAGGUUGGACUUUUCAAAUCUAACAGAACAUUCUGGUCCCCCUUGGAGAUUCUAUUGUUGUAAAUCUGUUCAACACACUAGAUUUAUCCAUCAAAUCUAUCAGCUGUAGAAUCUACGAGGAGGGACACAUGUUCAAUUUGAAGGACAACUGAGAAGGUUGAACACUGAUCCAUUCCAUGGAGAAGUGAACGGACCAUCCAACUGAUCACCUAAACAGGUCUGAUUUACUCAGGUUUGGUCCAGUGUUCAGAAGGU